rnacentral:rRNA from 1 species
UUGCGAUGGCGGCGUGCUAUACAUGCAGUCGAGCGGACAGAUGGGAGCUUGCUCCCUGAUGUUAGCGGCGGACGGGUGAGUAACACGUGGGUAACCUGCCUGUAAGACUGGGAUAACUCCGGGAAACCGGGGCUAAUACCGGAUGCUUGAUUGAACCGCAUGGUUCAAUUAUAAAAGGUGGCUUUUAGCUACCACUUACAGAUGGACCCGCGGCGCAUUAGCUAGUUGGUGAGGUAACGGCUCACCAAGGCAACGAUGCGUAGCCGACCUGAGAGGGUGAUCGGCCACACUGGGACUGAGACACGGCCCAGACUCCUACGGGAGGCAGCAGUAGGGAAUCUUCCGCAAUGGACGAAAGUCUGACGGAGCAACGCCGCGUGAGUGAUGAAGGUUUUCGGAUCGUAAAACUCUGUUGUUAGGGAAGAACAAGUACCGUUCGAAUAGGGCGGUACCUUGACGGUACCUAACCAGAAAGCCACGGCUAACUACGUGCCAGCAGCCGCGGUAAUACGUAGGUGGCAAGCGUUGUCCGGAAUUAUUGGGCGUAAAGCGCGCGCAGGCGGUUUCUUAAGUCUGAUGUGAAAGCCCCCGGCUCAACCGGGGAGGGUCAUUGGAAACUGGGGAACUUGAGUGCAGAAGAGGAGAGUGGAAUUCCACGUGUAGCGGUGAAAUGCGUAGAGAUGUGGAGGAACACCAGUGGCGAAGGCGACUCUCUGGUCUGUAACUGACGCUGAGGCGCGAAAGCGUGGGGAGCGAACAGGAUUAGAUACCCUGGUAGUCCACGCCGUAAACGAUGAGUGCUAAGUGUUAGAGGGUUUCCGCCCUUUAGUGCUGCAGCAAACGCAUUAAGCACUCCGCCUGGGGAGUACGGUCGCAAGACUGAAACUCAAAGGAAUUGACGGGGCCCGCACAAGCGGUGGAGCAUGUGGUUUAAUUCGAAGCAACGCGAAGAACCUUACCAGUCUUGACAUCCUCUGACACCCUAGAGAUAGGGCUUCCCCUUCGGGGCAGAGUGACAGGUGUGCAUGGUUGUCGUCAGCUCGUGUCGUGAGAUGUGGGUUAAGUCCCGCAACGAGCGCACCCUUGAUCUAGUGGCCAGCAUCAGUGGGCACUCUAGUGACUGCCGUGACAACGAGAGGUGGGAUGAACGUCAAUCAUCUAUGGCCUAUGACCUGGGCUACACCGGCUCAUGCUGACAGUCAGCGAAGCCGCGAGCUAAGCUAUCCACAGAUCG